rnacentral:rRNA from 1 species
UAGGGAAUCUUCCACAAUGGACGCAACCCUGAUCCAGCAAUGCCGCGUGUGUGAAGAAGGUUUUCGGAUUGUAAAGCACUUUCGGCGGGGACGAUGAUGACGGUACCCGCAGAAGAAGCCCCGGCUAACUUCGUGCCAGCAGCCGCGGUAAUACGAAGGGGGCUAGCGUUGCUCGGAAUGACUGGGCGUAAAGGGCGUGUAGGCGGUUUGUACAGUCAGAUGUGAAAUCCCCGGGCUUAACCUGGGAGCUGCAUUUGAUACGUGCAGACUAGAGUGUGAGAGAGGGUUGUGGAAUUCCCAGUGUAGAGGUGAAAUUCGUAGAUAUUGGGAAGAACACCGGUGGCGAAGGCGGCAACCUGGCUCAUGACUGACGCUGAGGCGCGAAAGCGUGGGGAGCAAACAGG